rfam:Gossypium hirsutum cultivar TM-1 chromosome 13, whole genome shotgun sequence
AUUCCGUGAUGAGGGCACUUCUAUAAUAAUUCUUUGUACCUUUCCAACGCCUAAUACGAGGACUCAUCAUCCAUUUGUUAGAAAGCAGUGAUACAGGUUAGCAGUCU